CCUUACUUAUUUUCCUACUUGGGUUUGGUUUGGAUUUUUUUUUCCUUACUAAUUAGAAAACUAAUUUUAGAAAUUAGUCUUGUCCACUCUGGAAACCUAAUAGAAAAUUAGUAAAAAUGCAAUAGCAGGAAAAUGAAAGUAAGCCUGGGGAAAGGUAAUUGUUUAUAACUGAGGGGUUUUGUUAACUCCUGUGCCUAAUUAACACACUACAAAGGGGAGCCUUUGUUGAAACUUCCACACCCUGCUUUCUCAAUUAAAGUACAAGAGAGAUCAUCAUAAAAAGAGCUUGGAGACAGCUGGUAUGUCCCCUAGCAAAGCUAAGCCUGAUUUAGCAUUCCUUAAACUAAAAAAAAAAAAAAUUAAAUAAAAUCCUCAAAAACCAAAACCCAACAAUACCAAACAUACACAUACUCGCUUUCUUUUUCUGCAUGUGAUUCUUUUUCUCCAUGUAAUGCAAAGCUCUUUCUCAUUAGUUCCUAGUAGCAACAAAAAACCCUUAAAUUAUGAUCCUCAUUGCUGAUGUGUUUUUAGCCCACAGGAAAAAUGGGCUGGGGUGAUUAUUUUCAGGGUUAUGAUGGCUGGUUGAAGAAACUUUGCAGGAAAGCUGAAUCAUUGGGUGAGCAUCUUGUUUUCAUCUUUUUUUAUUUUGCUAUCCCACAUCUAAGGGGUGGCUUAUGAAAAUUCAAAAGGCUUUUAUACAUGUACAUUCCUCUAUAAAGAGUCAAAGAAUUACAGGCCUCUGCAGUCUCACAAUUAGCUGCAAACUUAGGUAUAGGUGUGUGUUUCAAGCUCAGGGUUAGAUGCAGCUGUAAUCAGGAGCGUGGUAGAGCAGUAAGAGGCUUAAGGGUGCUUUAACUUUAUGUACAAACAAAAAUUCAAGGAGGGAGAGGACAGGAUUUACCACAGGUUGAAUAACUUACCCCAUUAGGUAGAAGAGAGCAGUGCUACCUUAUUUUGUGUUUUAGGUCUGUGUCAUGCUUGGGUUUAUAACUCAAAGUCCAAAUAAUAUUCAUAAUAUUCUCUUCCACAGAAAACCUUUUAACCUCCUUUUUUUUUUUUUUUUCUUCCUUUCUUCCCUGGGACCAGUGCAGUGCAAGAAGGCAGCAGUGCUUGCAAGACUCCUUACAUCUUGGCCUAACACAAGUUGCUACUUCACCUGAAGGAAUUCCAGAAGUCCCUGAGCACCUCUGUCCUGCGGGUUUGAUUCCUCUAACACUUUCCUGUCUCUUGGUAGCUAAGAAAUUGCAGAGCAGGUGCUAGCCUGGGCAGCUCAGAAAUCUGCUACUCCUCAAGUAAUCCCAGGAAAUGAUGAUCUGAUAAAUGGGAGAGAAGGGUGACUGUGUUAAAUGGAGCUCAUCUUCACCUCAUCUGAAAGGAGGCUUCCCACAGUGAUGGCACCUCAUGUAUCUGUGUUGGCAAUGUCUCACAUCCUACAAAGCUAAUGCCUCAGGAAGUCCUGGUGAAUUUCUGUGUCAGCACGCUGUUCUUCAGUGAUCCAGUGUACAAUAUGACUUUUUAAAUAUCUUCACCAUCACUGCUGGAGCAGUGGUAAGCUAUGUCACAGCACUAAAACCAAAUGUCUAGUGGGAGAAUAGGCAACACCUUAAACCAGUUUUGCUGAUGAAGAGGGCAUGAUGGAAUUGCACCUUGCCAUGCGAAAAUGAGCAAAUUAAGCCUUGCCUUUUCUACAGCCAUGCCGGAAGAUGGGUAGUUCUGCCAAGAGUAACAUCAUUCUGAAAGAAAAGGACUACUCUCCUCCUGACAUCUGCUCCUGGCUGCUUCUGAGACAGGUUAGCCGGGACACAUUUCACUUACUUGUUCUCUGACACACACACCCCUCCCAGCCCUCAGGGGAAACAUCACUUGCUUUCACUCCUUCCACAUCUCUUAAGAUGGCUUUCCACCUUUCGCACUCUCACAGUUUGGAUCUGGCAUUUGGUUUAGGAGGAGAACAAUAAAGAAUUGGUAUAAAGGGAAAAGGAAGUUAUGUGCUAAUGCGUGGUGCUUAAAUUGCAGACAAAUUUCAGGUUGCUCAGAGGCACAAAGUCCGCAGACAUAAGUGACUUUCUUCCGCAGACCUGCUUCCAAAGAGCCAGUUCCUUUUGCACCUGAAAACGCUUCAAGUUCUCAUCUGCAUUUAUAGCUGCUGCUUUGUAUGUGUGUAUCUAUUAAAGCCAGUUCAGAGCUGCUUCUCUAAAGAAAUUCUAAUUAUGAAUCUGCACUGAAACAACUAAGGUUUCGAGUUUUGCAAAAGCAGAGCUCAGGCUUCUUAGCAACACCAGAUUGUGACAUUCUCCAGAUCUGUACAUGUGUGGUUUCUGUCUAAAGCCACUGUGGUUAGAGUUUAGCAAUGUGAGUCCUUCCAUGGAGUAAACACCUUUUGUCUCUGUCACUCUUCUUGUUUCACUCUCUCCAUCUUGUCAGUAAGAAACUAGUUUUGGAAGAGGAUUUUUUCUGCCCCCCAAAGCAUUGAAAAUUAUUCACCAAAAUUAAUUUGGCCAUUUUUAUCUGUUUUUCAGAUACAAAAAUUAAAUGUCCCUACAUUUAUUGAUGAUCAAUGAAGUGCAGGCUUCUCCCAGGGCUUGCUGUUUGCCAACAAAUUUAAGCAAAGUUUGUUUGCAACAAACUUAAGACCAAACUGGUCUUGGAUUAGACCAGUGUAGGGGAAAACACUGUAGUUCAGCAAAGUGGCUCUUUGUCUGGUGUGUAAAAGCUGGUGAAGUAUCUCUGGAUGCUUGCUGCCUCAUAUAUUUGUUUCCCUCUGGAAAUACCACAGUGCCAUUAAUCUAUUCCCAUCAAACUGGUAAAACUGUUUUCUGUUUAGAUGUUUUCCAGAAUUCAGCAACCAUUACAGGUUUGUUCUUCCAAAUCAUGCUGGCUUGCAAACACUGAUGGAAAAUAUGAGUGAAGUUGAUCAGAAAGAUCCACAUAAGCAUCCUGUGAAUUUGUAGAAAGUAACAGA